ensembl:snoRNA SNORD58 Small nucleolar RNA SNORD58
UUGCCAUGAUGACUACUUAGGACACCUUUGGAUUCUUCAUGAAAACAAACUUAGACUCUGAGCAAC